UACGUAGGGGGCAAGCGUUGUCCGGAAUUAUUGGGCGUAAAGAGCGCGUAGGCGGUCCGAUAAGUCGGCUGUGAAAGUCAAGGGCUCAACCCUUGAAAGCCGGCCGAUACUGUCGGACUAGAGUCCGGAAGAGGCAAGUGGAAUUCCCGGUGUAGCGGUGAAAUGCGCAGAUAUCGGGAAGAACACCCGUGGCGAAGGCGGUUCUCUGGGACGGUACUGACGCUGAGACGCGAAAGCGUGGGGAGCGAACAGG
rnacentral:rRNA from 1 species